ACUAAGUCUAUACAUGACCACCAUCAUCAUUGAAAUGCAAACAAAAACAUCCCAUUUUAAUUAUUGUUAUACAUGCUGUACCUUUUCACACUGAUAUAGAGCAUUUGCACAUGACGUCACAGCCACCAUGUUGGUGUUCCAAUUCAAAAUAAUUUUAAUUAGACUCUUGUCUGGAACACCAACAUGGCCGCCAUGGCUUUUGUUGAGUUGGCCCGUGGGGAAUGAGUGCAAACGCUCUAUACAACAAGGUCUGAAUCUUGAGACACUGCAAAACCGCAGCCUGAAAUCAAAGCGCCUGGGGACGAGGCUGGCAAAACCAGCAUAUCCAUUAUUCACAAUAAAUGCAAUUUGUGCAUCUGCUUCAUAUGGUGCCAUUAUGUACUGAAUUGAAUAUCUUUUUCACAGCAAAGCUGAAAGGUGGAUAAUAACAAAUUGUUAUUUACUGCACACAACUAGUUUCCAAUUUACUCUUUAUAAUUUUUUAUGCAUUUGUACAUAAAAGGGGUGUCAUUUAAAAACAGGAAUUUGAAUUUUGCAAAACAAAUUGAUCAAACGUCUGAUUAGCAAGGCAUUGGCAUGGAUUAUAAAUUGUUGUGACAUUCCCGUGCACCAAUAAAAUGUAAAUUCUGGGGAGGGGUAUAGGCAAGGUGUAAGGAUUUGGAAUUUUUUAAAAAUUUUUUGGGUAAAUUCUAGUGAGUGGAAGGCUAGAACAAAGUUCUUGAAAACUAGAUAGUAUGUGGUUCAAUUUAAACCACAUCAUUUUUCUUACUCUCCAUAUAUUGUUAUGCAAGGUGUUUUUCUGCCAGCUGCAAAUUGCCAUUGCAAUGAUUUUUUAUUACUUAGGCGCUACUGUAUUUAUAUGAUCUUGGAUACUAGAGACACCCAAUCC